AACGAACGCUGGCGGCAGGCUUAACACAUGCAAGUCGAACGCCCCGCAAGGGGAGUGGCAGACGGGUGAGUAACGCGUGGGAAUCUACCCAACUCUACGGAAUAACUCAGGGAAACUUGUGCUAAUACCGUAUACGCCCUUCGGGGGAAAGGUUUAUCGGAGUUGGAUGAGCCCGCGUUGGAUUAGCUAGUUGGUGGGGUAAAGGCCUACCAAGGCGACGAUCCAUAGCUGGUCUGAGAGGAUGAUCAGCCACAUUGGGACUGAGACACGGCCCAAACUCCUACGGGAGGCAGCAGUGGGGAAUAUUGGACAAUGGGCGCAAGCCUGAUCCAGCCAUGCCGCGUGAGUGAUGGAGGCCCUAGGGUUGUAAAGCUCUUUCACCGGUGAAGAUAAUGACGGUAACCGGAGAAGAAGCCCCGGCUAACUUCGUGCCAGCCGCCGCAGUAA
rnacentral:rRNA from 1 species